rnacentral:rRNA from 1 species
GGGGAAACACCCGUUCCCAUACCGAACACGACGGUUAAGACCUGAACGGCUGAUGAUACUUGGUGGGUGACCGCCCGGGAAAGUAAGUGGAUGCC